rnacentral:misc_RNA from 1 species
GAUGAAGAACGCAGUGAAAUGCGAUAAGUAAUGUGAAUUGCAGAAUUCAGUGAAUCAUCGAAUCUUUGAACGCACCUUGCGCCCUUUGGCUAUUCUGAAGGGCAUGCCUGUUUGAGUAUCAUGAACACCUCAACUCUCACGGUUCGCCGUGAUGAGCUUGGACUUUGGGGGUAUUGCCGACCCACCGCCGGCUCCUCUCAAAUGAAUCAGCUUGCCAGUGUCUGGUGGCAUCACAGGUGUGAUAACUAUCUACGCUUGUGGUUUUCCGCCAGGUAACCUCCAGCGAUGGAGGUUCGCUGGAGCUCACAAAUGUCUCUCCUCAGCGAAGACAGCUCUUGAACGUUUGAUCUCAAAUCAGGUAGGACUACCCGCUGAACUUAAGCAUAUCAAUAAGCGGAGGA